AUGUGAUGUGGAAAAGUCAGUUUGCUGGGUCUGAUUCGCUUCCUCGCACGGACGAAGGCGCUGAAUGGUGUUAGUGACACUAUGAAAAAAUGCUAUUACUGACAGGUCUACCAUACAUACCCUGAGGGCAAAGAGACUCUAGAAACCCGACACCUUUAUCGGAACUCAUCUGAUGCUUGUUGAACCUGACAGCGUGUUUGACAGCAAAGCCCGGCCGAGCUUCUCUGCGCGCCACAGAACAGCUGCAGGCGGUCCUGACAGCUUGUCUCGCGCUGCGAUGCCAAGCGCGUGGCGCGUGAGUCAGUGCGGAACAAAGAGCUGAGCGGCACUGACGGCACGGCGUGAAGACCGAAGAUGCGGCAGUGCGGCUGUCGCAGAGAUGAGCGAUGCUGACCUCCGGGGACAGGGUUGCUGCUGCUGCUAUCGACAACAAAAGACGAUGGCAAUUAACACAGCAGUCAGGACGAAGAGCGUGUAUGGUGAAAGAGUUGGAGGUGCUGUCUCAUACUGGAAAUAAAUUAUUAAAAAUGU